rnacentral:misc_RNA from 1 species
AUAAUUGAGAAUUUUUCUUUAUUUACUGCGUAUCAAACGAGCAAAUAUAUGAUGAAAUGCAAUGAAAUUUACUUGUGGGUUUCUUAUAUUUUCUUACCUAAUUCAUGAUAGACCUAAUAAAAUUUGUCUUACACAUUUUGAAAAAAAUGUCUAAUUUCCAUGUCUCUAGAUUAGAGGGAUGUGAUAACAAAGGAGAUCAAG